AGCGGCGACGGGUGAGUAACACGUGGGGAACCUGCCCCUAAGUCUGGGAUACCAUUUGGAAACAGGUGCUAAUACCGCAUGACUACUAAAACCACAUGGUUUUAGUAUAAAAGAAGGCUUCGGCUUUCACUCUAGGAUGGCCCCGCGGUGCAUUAGCUAGUUGGUAAGGUAACGGCUUACCAAGGCGACGAUGCAUAGCCGAGUUGAGAGACUGAUCGGCCACAUUGGGACUGAGACACGGCCCAAACUCC
rnacentral:rRNA from 1 species